AGCAUCAGACUUGUAUCACGUAGCAGAGCCUUCUAGGCACGAUCAAGCAAGGCUUGGUUUUAAGCCAGUGAUCUGGAGUGAAAGGAAACACAGUGAAGACAGAAAAUCUGAAGAGUUAAUAAAAAGAGUGGAAGAGGUGCUCUGGUCCAAAGAGAUUGUUCAUGUUAUAGAAGGGUGAGUUAAAAGGAUCAGUGGUCCAUUCUGUCUCAGACACAUAGGAAUCUGUAAGAGAUGCCAUUGCUA